rnacentral:rRNA from 1 species
UACAGGGGGUGCAAACGUUGCUCGGAAUUAUUGGGCGUAAAGCGCACGUAGGCGGUUUGUUAUGUCGGAUGUGAAAGCCCUUGGCUCAACUGAGGAAGUGCAUCCGAAACUGGCAAGCUAGAGUAUGUAAGAGGGUCGCGGAAUUCCCGGUGUAGAGGUGAAAUUCGUAGAUAUCGGGAAGAACACCGGUGGCGAAGGCGGCGACCUGGGACAAUACUGACGCUGAGGUGCGAAAGCGUGGGGAGCAAACAGG